rnacentral:tRNA from 1 species
GGGAUUGUGUCUCAGUGGUAGAGCGCUUACCUAGUAAGUUCGAGGCACUGGGUUUGAUUCUCACAAUCACA